UACGGGGGGAGCAAGCGUUGUUCGGAUUUACUGGGCGUAAAGGGCGCGUAGGCGGCCACUGCAAGUCGGUUGUGAAAUCUCCGGGCUUAACCCGGAAAGGUCAACCGAUACUGCAGGGCUAGAGUGUGGAAGGGGCAACUGGAAUUCUCGGUGUAGCGGUGAAAUGCGUAGAUAUCGAGAGGAACACCUGCGGCGAAGGCGGGUUGCUGGGCCGACACUGACGCUGAUGCGCGAAAGCUAGGGGAGCGAACGGG
rnacentral:rRNA from 1 species